CAGUCGCCGCGGUAAUACGUAGGUGGCAAGCGUUGUCCGGAAUUAUUGGGCGUAAAGGGAGCGCAGGCGGUUUAGUAAGUCUGAAGUUAAAGGCAUUGGCUCAACCAAUGUAUGCUUUGGAAACUGUUAGACUUGAGUGCAGAAGGGGAGAGUGGAAUUCCAUGUGUAGCGGUGAAAUGCGUAGAUAUAUGGAGGAACACCGGUGGCGAAAGCGGCUCUCUGGUCUGUCACUGACGCUGAGGCUCGAAAGCGUGGGUAGCGAACAGGAUUAGAUACCCGCGUAGUCCCUGUCUCUUAUACA
rnacentral:rRNA from 1 species